GUAUAAAUUAUUGAUCAAGCACGUAUCCCAUAUCAGCACAAAAGGAACAGCUCACAAUCCACCAUCUUUAGUGUUUAGCGUAAGGAAUGAUGUUUCUCUUCCCAAAUAAGUAGCAUCACCAAUUUCAUUUCAACUGUUGUAGCAUUAAUCGAAUGAAAAGUAAUACUGUUUACCUAGAGAAAAACGUUAGGAUUGAACAAUACAAGCAGCUGAAUCAAGAAAUUUUCUUUCCUUUUCUUUUUUUUU
rnacentral:misc_RNA from 1 species